rnacentral:lncRNA from 1 species
AGUUACUUAAAAUUGAAAAUAACAACAAAACCAAUAACAAUGAACUGAGAAGAGACAUAAUGAAGUUUCCUAAAAAUUGUUUCCUAAACUGAAAAAAUACCCAAACUCAGAAAUGAACAAUCUUACAAGGAAUUAAAUUAUAGUAAUAAUACAACAGACUGGACAGGUACCCAAUGAAGAGGUUCUAAUGAUAUUAUGGUAACCAUGACAUCAAAACAACAAGGGAAUUUUAGAAGAGCCAAUGUAAUUACUCAAUAAAAAAUUCAACCAACACAAGGUUGAAAACACAAGGUUGAAUCUUUUGAGUUCACAUGUCAAAACAAGGAGGUAUGGAACCUAGAAAUUCUAGGUCUGCUAGGUAUAGCAACAUGUCUUAGAAGAUACCAAACAGUUGGAGGCCAGCACUCUGAUACUUGGAAGUACCCGGGAGUGUCAUAGCAUCAGAAGAACACAGCGUACAAAUGUAUCCUCAAACUUUAGCGCAAACUUGAGGCUUCAGAAUGAAAAAUCCACUAUUCCACUGACAUGUCCUAUCCUAGACUGUGUCUAGAAUCACUUUUUUGGGGAGGAGAAGAUAAGUGAGUUUUUCUUUGGAGUGAGAGCCUCAAUGUCUUCAGCAAUAAAAUAUUAUGAAGGGUACAGACAAGUCACAAGCAGUUACAUUAUCAAAAAAUUUGUUGCUGGAAACUUUCUGGUGUGGAUUUAUUCCAACACUUUUUCUCCACACACUGAUCCUGAUCUGACAUUCUGUAAAUAUACUGAAGGAUUGAUGGCAUUCUCUCAAACCAGAGGGUACUUUAAGAGUCAAAAGAAAUUCUCCAGCUACUUGCUGCCUGAGAUGGCUGGAAGGCUAAAAAAAAUUGUGUUUUUGAAACUUAACUUUGUUUUUAUGAGAUAUUUUAUAAAUACAAAUAUUUUGUGCUACACCUUUGUAAACUGCUACAUUUCUGGAAACAAAAGAUUCAAUUAAACUUUAGCUUUCCUAAUAACACAAAGAAAAACUCCUGUAUCCAUUCUCAGGGAUUAACUAUUUUUAGAUAAGGCAUUUUAAAACCACUUACUAUAUGCCAAGCACUGUGCUGACCAUUUAUUUUAAAUAAUUACAACUUUAGGUAUGAUUUGGAAUUGUUAAAAAUGGAGGUUGGAAUUGAGUCAUCUCUUCAAAAUAGAUCAAUUAAUCUAUUUGGAUUGUGUCAUUUCAAAGCAAAUCAAUUCAUAUUUUGAAUUAGUAACAUCAAAGAUUAAAAAACAACACAUUUUUACACUUUUGACAUUUGUUAGCUUUCAGUAGUUUAUCACUUUCGUUUUCCCGAGUGAUUUCCUAAUAAGUUUCAUUUUUCCAUACUUCCACCUGAACUUCAAUGAAUAACUAGGUUGCAAACAGCAGGGAGACAUAACUAAGAUUUCCAUUUUUUGUUUUUAAAUUUUGGAAAGCUCUUAAAUUUUGCAUUAAUAAUGAGCUACGAUGUGAAGCUGCGUGCAGAAAUAAAAACCACCUCGAAAAUGCCCUUUGCA